rnacentral:lncRNA from 1 species
GUGCUGUCUGUCAGAGAAAUGACCAAGCUGUUGCUGUCAGGCUGUCUGCAGCUAUCAAAAAUUUCAAGCACAUCUUCCUUGCCGAAUCCUAUCAACUGAUCAGCAACAAAUCGGUAGCCACAGGCUGCUGGUUUCAGGACUUUCAUGGCUGCAGGAGGAAGCCAGCCAGCAGGAGCCAGAAGGGCCAACACUGCUAUGUUAUCCUGGGGUUGUGCUGUCUAGCUGACUGAGGCCCAGCCUGCAGUCAGCUAGACAGGCCCUAGGGGAGCCCAUGUCAUGUGGUGCUGAACCUUUCUGUGAGCUCCCUCCUCAGUCAUUGAGGAAUGUAUCUUUUAGCUCUUGAACUGUGAAAACUGAGGUUUUAGAUGUGCUGCAAAUUGUCUGUUCAUCUGUGUCCUGCACUGCCUGGAUUACUUCAUACUGUUUACACAGCAAAACAAACUAUAUAACAUCCCAGGGGCUCAAUGCCGCUGCCACAGAAUACCGAGAUGCAGAAGAGCAAAGAUACAGCUUUACUUGAUUAGAACAGUCUUCAACCUCCACCAAUUUGUGGUCCAGGGACUUUGUGUUCAGGGGAUGGAAUUGCUGUAUUUAAAACAACUAGAAUUUUCUUCUAAAGAAUUACUUUUAGAAUCCAGAAGAUACUGCUGUCAAAAUAUCAGGUACUUGUGUUUGAUUUGAACCUGCCACCUACUGUUUUCUUGCUGUGAAACUUUCCUCGUUCUUCUAUUAGCCUGAGAGAUGCUGGGGACAAGAGCAGCACGUAGGAUUCCCCUUGGAAUAUCACAGUGGCAUGGUUAUAUUCUAAAACUUAUUCCCUGUGUGUUUCUUUUGAUAAUAACUCCUAAAAGUAUCUGAUUUUUGAGCAUUGAGGUGAUGUUUUCAUGUGAGUGUUUAUUCUAAACAAAAAAUUGCAGGAGUUGACAAUCACAAAAAUCUAAUUCCUGAAUGUUAACACUCAGCUCAAAAUUGUAAUUUUAAAUAUAAAAUUAAGGUUGUUCUGUUGUCUGAGUAUCAUUUUAUGUUAUCCAUAUUGAAUCUCAUUGCCACUUUAUGAGCCAGUCACUCAAAUCAGUAUAACUUUUCUACAUUUAAACCCCAUUUCUGCUACCUUGAAUAACAUCAGCAAAAUGAUCACCCCUUUUCUUAAUCCGUUAUAAAUGAGUUAAAGGCUAGCAGAGAACUAUAACAGUACUUUGACAAUCACUCUCCAAUAAGAAAACUGACUUGUUUACUGUAACUGACUGCUUUCUACCUUGUAACUAGUUCUUCAUCCAUAUGGAGGUAUUGAUACAGACAUUAUCCAAACUGUUAAUUGUUUUCCUUUGACAUUAAGUAAUUUGGCUAAUUAAAGUGCUAGAGAUUUUAAAAAAAAAAAAAGAAAAACAAAAACAAACAGCAAGUACUAGCGGAGGAAGAAAACCCUUCCUUCCCCAAUAUGCCAUUAAGACUUCCAUUGCCCAGAAACACAAGGAAGUCUGAUCUUCAAUCAGAGAUGUAUGCAUAUCUUUUAGAGAUAGUUCUGAGGAUUCUUCUUCUCCU